rnacentral:rRNA from 1 species
UACGAAGGGGGCUAGCGUUGCUCGGAAUCACUGGGCGUAAAGCGCACGUAGGCGGCUUUUUAAGUCAGGGGUGAAAUCCUGGAGCUCAACUCCAGAACUGCCUUUGAUACUGAGGAUCUUGAGUUCGGGAGAGGUGAGUGGAACUGCGAGUGUAGAGGUGAAAAUUCGUAGAUAUUCGCAAGAACACCAGUGGCGAAGGCGGCUCACUGGCCCGAUACUGACGCUGAGGCACGAAAGCGUGGGGAGCAAACAGG